rnacentral:rRNA from 1 species
GUGGGGAAUCUUGCGCAAUGGGCGAAAGCCUGACGCAGCCAUGCCGCGUGAAUGAUGAAGGUCUUAGGAUUGUAAAAUUCUUUCACCGGGGACGAUAAUGACGGUACCCGGAGAAGAAGCUCCGGCUAACUUCGUGCCAGCAGCCGCGGUAAUACGAAGGGGGCUAGCGUUGCUCGGAAUUACUGGGCGUAAAGGGCGCGUAGGCGGACAGCUUAGUCAGAGGUGAAAGCCCAGGGCUCAACCUUGGAAUUGCCUUUGAUACUGGCUGUCUUGAGUACGGGAGAGGUGAGUGGAACUCCGAGUGUAGAGGUGAAAUUCGUAGAUAUUCGGAAGAACACCAGUGGCGAAGGCGACUCACUGGCCCGUUACUGACGCUGAGGCGCGAAAGCGUGGGGAGCAAACAGGAUUAGAUACCCGAGUAGUCC